rnacentral:rRNA from 1 species
GAUGAACGCUGGCGGCGUGCCUAAUACAUGCAAGUCGAGCGAACAGACGAGGAGCUUGCUCCUCUGACGUUAGCGGCGGACGGGUGAGUAACACGUGGAUAACCUACCUAUAAGACUGGGAUAACUUCGGGAAACCGGAGCUAAUACCGGAUAAUAUAUUGAACCGCAUGGUUCAAUAGUGAAAGACGGUUUUGCUGUCACUUAUAGAUGGAUCCGCGCCGCAUUAGCUAGUUCGUAAGGUAACGGCUUACCAAGGCAACGAUGCGUAGCCGACCUGAGAGGGUGAUCGGCCACACUGGAACUGAGACACGGUCCAGACUCCUACGGGAGGCAGCAGUAGGGAAUCUUCCGCAAUGGGCGAAAGCUUGACGGAGCAACGCCGCGUGAGUGAUGAAGGUCUUCGGAUCGUAAAACUCUGUUAUUAGGGAAGAACAAAUGUGUAAGUAACUAUGCACGUCUUGACGGUACCUAAUCAGAAAGCCUCGGUUAACUACGUG